rfam:Gossypium raimondii chromosome 7, whole genome shotgun sequence.
AAUCCAUGCAUAGGACAUUUCCUAAGCAUAUCCUUAAACCUUUCCCAUGCUUCAUAUGGUGUUUCAUCCUCUAGUUGCAUGAAUGAUGUUAUGUCAUUUCUUAGUUU